AUUGAACGCUAGCGGGAUGCCUUACACAUGCAAGUCGAACGGAGUGGCGAACGGGUGCGUAAUGUAUCGGACCGUGCCUAGUAGCGGGGGCUCACUUCUCGAAAGCGUAGCUAAUACCGCAUACUAUUGGAGCGGCCGAUAUCGGAUUAGCUAGUUGGUGGGGUAACGGCUCACCAAGGCGACGAUCCGUCGCUGGUUUGAGAGGACGACCAGCACCAAGGGGACUGAGAAACGGCCCAGACGCCUACGGGAGGCAGCAGUGGGGAAUUGGGGACAAGGGGGGAAACCCUGAGAAAGCCAGCCCGCGUGUGCGAUGAAGGCCUUCGGGUUGUAAAGCACUUUUGGCAGGAAAGCGGUACCUGCAGAAUAAGCACCGGCUAACUACGUGCCAGCAGCCGCGGUAAUAC
rnacentral:rRNA from 1 species